UACGUAGGGACCAAGCGUUGUUCGGAUUUACUGGGCGUAAAGGGCGCGUAGGCGGCAACUCAAGUCAGCUGUGAAAUCUCCGGGCUUAACUAUGGGACUGCAGUCGAUACGGGCUAGCUAGAGUCCGGAAGAGGAGAAUGGAAUUCCUGGUGUAGCGGUGAAAUGCGCAGAUAUCAGGAAGAACACCCGUGGCUAAGGCGGCUCUCUAGUACGGUACUGACGCUGAGACGCGAAAGCGUGGGGAGCGAACAGG
rnacentral:rRNA from 1 species